rnacentral:rRNA from 1 species
UUUCCGGUUGAUCCUGCCGGACCCCCCUGCUAUCGGGAUGGGACUAAGACAUGCUAGUCAAGCGCUCUUUAGCCAUGAUAAGAGUGCGGCGCACAGCUCAGUAACACGUGGCUAACCUGCCCUCGGGACAGACACAACCCCGGGAAACUGGGGCUGAUAUCUGAUAGGUGAAGAACUCUGGAAUGAGUCUCCGCCCAAAAGACGCUUACGUCAUGCUGUAGGCGUCGCCCAAGGAUGGGGCCGCGGCCGAUCAGGUUGUUGGUGAGGUAACGGCUCACCAAGCCAUUUACCGGUACGGGCCGUGAGAGCGGGAGCCCGGAGAUGGGCACUGAGACAAGGGCCCAGGCCCUACGGGGCGCAGCAGUCGCGCAAACUCUGCAAUACACGAAAGUGUGACARGGCUAUCCCGAGUGCCGCCCGCUGAGGGUGGCUUUUACUCAGUCUAGAAAGCUGGGAGAAUAAGGAGAGGGCAAGACUGGUGUCAGCCGCCGCGGUAAUACCAGUUCUCCGAGUGGUGUGGAUGUUUAUUGGGCCUAAAGCAUCCGUAGCCUGCUGAACAAGUCCUCUGUUAAACCCAACGAAUUAAUCGUUGGAGAGCGGGGGAUACUGCUCGGCUUGGAGACGAGAGAGGCAGACGGUAUUUUCGGGGUAGGAGUGAAAUCCUAUAAUCCCGGGAAGACCACCAGUGGCGAAGGCUGUCUGCUAGAACGUGCUCGACGGUGAGGGAUGAAAGCUGGGGUAGCGAACCGGAUUAGAUACCCGGGUAGUCCCAGCUGUAAACUAUGCAGGCUAGGUGUUUGAGCGGCCACGCGCCGCUCUAGUGGGGCAGGGAAGCUGUUAAGCCUGCCGCCUGGGGAGUACGGUCGCAAGACUGAAACUUAAAGGAAUUGGCGGGGGGGGCACCACAAGGGGUGAAGCUUGCGGUUUAAUUGGAGUCAACGCCGGG